AUGCACGCUGGCGGCGUGCCUCAUACCUGCAAGUCGCGCGCACGGACGAGAAGCUUGCUUCUCUGAUGUUAGCGGCGGACGGGUGAGUAACACGUGGAUAACCUACCUAUAAGACUGGGAUAACUUCGGGAAACCGGAGCUAAUACCGGAUAAUAUUUUGAACCGCAUGGUUCAAAAGUGAAAGACGGUCUUGCUGUCACUUAUAGAUGGAUCCGCGCUGCAUUAGCUAGUUGGUAAGGUAACGGCUUACCAAGGCAACGAUGCAUAGCCGACCUGAGAGGGUGAUCGGCCACACUGGAACUGAGACACGGUCCAGACUCCUACGGGAGGCAGCAGUAGGGAAUCUUCCGCAAUGGGCGAAAGCCUGACGGAGCAACGCCGCGUGAGUGAUGAAGGUCUUCGGAUCGUAAAACUCUGUUAUUAGGGAAGAACAUAUGUGUAAGUAACUGUGCACAUCUUGACGGUACCUAAUCAGAAAGCCACGGCUAACUACGUG
rnacentral:rRNA from 1 species